rnacentral:tRNA from 1 species
GUCUCCGUGGCGCAAUUGGUUAGCGCGUUCGACUGUUACACGCCUGUGAAUCGAGAGGUUGACAGUUCAAUCCUGUCCGGGGACG